rnacentral:tRNA from 1 species
GCGGGCGUAGCUCAAUGGUAGAGCCCCGUCCUUCCAAGUCGGUUAUGCGGGUUCGAUUCCCGCCGCCCGCUCUA